GGCCCAGCCAGCCCACUACUUGACCUAACUUAUCCUGCUCCAUAGUACCCCUCGAGGAAGGGAGGGGAGCUGCCACCUUGCAACCACCAGAGAGAGGAGAGGGAGGAGGGGAGGUUGUUGACCGUCUAAGAGAUAGAGAGAGGAGGACAUGUGCCAGCGCCUCCGCGAAGGAAGGACCGAGCCGCACAACCGUGGAAGGGAGGGUAGAGCUGUGCCGUCGUGGAAGGGCGGACUGGUGAGCGGAGCAAGACCCUGUGCGCCCACGCCACAGCAGAAGGCAAAGAAGGGUCACCGCCGUCAACAGAAAAGCCACCGCCACCACCAAAGGAAUGGUGGUGCAGGUCUAGAAGAUCGGUCGCCAAGAUAUUACGCAAGGGAUUCAAUUUUGUAGUUAUUCUUGUUGACUGGGAAGUUUGGAAGCACAAGAAUGCUGCUGUUGUUUGAAGGAACUUCUCUGAAUGUCCAGUUUGUUCUUCAAAUGAUAGAAGAGGGAUGCCAAAUGUGGCAUUUGCCGGUGCUUCUGCUCUUCGGGAGCUCAUCCUGAGGUCGCUUGCUCUAUACGGGGCCCCAUAGUUUGGGUUAUAUGUCUGAAUGUAUGCACUCAAUGCUAUGGGGCCAUUUGAACCAACAGUGACUUGUACUGGAUUAUGAGUCCAACAUCUACAUAUACUAGUACAAUGUCCGUGCAUUGCGACAACACACAAUCUUAUUAUUGUUAUAUUAUGCAUGAUUAACA